UAAAUUACAAAAUGAAUACAACAAAAUACAUACUUGAUAGAAAAAUAGAAGCAUAACACCAUCUUUGGGUAUAAUCUUAAAAAUAAUAAAUGACUUAAGUUGUCAUUAUCUGUGUUCAUAGAAUCUUGAGACAAAGGGGAAAAAGCAUAUGCCAUUAAAAAUGAUUUUCUUUUAUUUCCAGGCGAGAAGAAUGCUGUGCUGUUGGAACAGAAUAAUUGAAAGACCUCACUGAGGGUGUCACCAUUCCCUACCAGCCUUUUACAUACAUGUCCUUCUAUACCUGCCAUCCUUCAGCCUCUGCUCAAAUGUCAGCCCUUCUGCAGAGCCUUCUCUGAGUAAAUGUCUUAAAAUCCUUAUGAAAACAGCAUCUCACAACAGAAAUGUUCCUAAGGGAGAGAAAUUAUUAAGGUGGAAACAAGAAGAUGGAGAUGAAACUCAAAAUCGUGCGGAAGGAGUUGAUGAAUGUCACAGGUAAGAGAUAAGAAACACCCUGAUCAAGGCCAAGGGCAAGUAUGGUGUACAUCCAUAAAUAUCUGAAUUAUAAUCAUAAGGAAUCAAAGUAUUCCCAAUGGCUCCAGAGUCAGAAUUAGUUUAAGUGAAAGUCAGGGGAAAGGAGUUCAUUCUACCCUAAGAAUCCAAUUCUAAAAUUCAAGCGGUUCCAAAAUAUAAUUGUCUCCUCUCGGGGAACAAAAAAAUAUCAAGCAAAGACUGCGUGAUUUAUUAAGGGGGAUUCCUCCCUUAGAAAAAGUUCCCCAUAUCUUAAAAAUUGAUUUUACAAUUAAAAUAAGUCUGAGAAGAUGAUUCGACAUCAUGCAAAGAACUGAAAAAAGACUGAAUUCACAGCAUUUCUUGGAUACCUUCUAAUAGGAACAGAAGUAUGUAGAAAAAUGCAGGGUAUUGAGCCCAGCUUUGGUACUUUUAUAGUAGUGAUCAAAAUGUGUCAACUCUAAUGUAAGACUAUUGUCUAAUAUGGGAUAUGAAAUCAAUGUAAUUUACUUGAUUCAAUUUUUAAAA
rnacentral:lncRNA from 1 species